rnacentral:misc_RNA from 1 species
GUUUCUACAAUUCAAAAGGAAAAAUCCGCUUCCAAAAUAGAGAAACAAGUAAACACAAUCCGAAGUAAAAGCGACCAUCUUCCUCCAAAGUAAAAAAAAACAUCACGCCGAUGGUUGCAAACUUUCGCACUUUUCAACACUCGUUACAUAAGCGCAUUUUUGGCAACGGCUCAUGAGGAGGUUCCUGCUGACCGUAGGUUACUGUGGCACCAGUCUCAGGGGUGUUCAGAAACAGCUGGAUGAGGGAGUGAAUGGGAAGGCAUGCAGUGUGCAUGGAUUGCUGGAAAAGGCUUUAGUCCACCUGCGUCCAGCCAACCCCCCCGAACUCUAUAUCUCAAGUCGCACAGAUGCGGGUGUCCAUGCACUCUGUAAUACUCUUCAUGUGGACUUAGAACGUCUACCUUCCCAACCUCCGUACGAACCUGAAUACAUCACUAUUGGUGUAAAUCGCUAUUUUCAGAAGACAAAAGCUGACAUCAGGUCACCAUUUGAUGUCGAGAAGGUGAAGGAGGCUUGUCAGAUCCUUCAGGGCAGCCACGACUUUGCCACCUUUGCCGGGAAGACUGGGUCUGGGGUGGACACAAAGCGCACCAUCAAUCAGAUCACAGUCACUGAGGGACGACCUCUUCUGGAUCCAGCCUUUGAGCCUCUUUACAGCAAUCUUCAGUUCUGGGACAUCACUGUGAACUCUAGGUCUUUCCUGUACAGACAGGUACGAAAGACAGUGGGUGUGUUAGUGGCUUUGGGCCAGGAACGAAUUUCCUUUGAUGACCUGCAUCGAAUGUUAAGCAUUCCUAGUCGUGACAGCUGGCCUUCAAAAGCCAUCACAGCACCACCUGCUGGACUUUACCUCGUCAAUGUGCAUUACCCUCGUGAGGCCUUCUGUUUCCCUUAUCCGGACUUCAGUGCUGUUGACAGUUGGGAAGGAGAUAAGAAACUGUAGUGUGACAUUUUGAAGUGGUGAAUAUGAAAUCCACUGUGGCUUACUCUAGGUGAUAUAGACUAAGUGAAAAGGUGUAAAACUUGGACAAGUGAACUAAAGAGAUAAGACUUUAUUGCGGGUAUUCUGAUGGUCCUGCUGGUAUUGAGAGUUGCAAUCUAGAGAACACCAAGUAAAGGGACAUUUCUGUAGUUCACACUCUAAAUUAAAGGUCCAAAAAAUGGAGGAGAUUAAUAUUCAGCAGAAUGGUGUCCCAAGUGAUGGUGCAUCACAGAGUCAACAACAGCCUGAGCACAUUACUGGUGAUCUGGAGUUUGAGGGACAGCAGCAAGGGAAGACAUUGGAGGUUGAGGGGAAGCUAGAAUCCAACAAACAGGAUAUGAUUUCAGAAAAGGAACAAUGCCAAGUACAACAACAAAAUACUCAGCAGACCCUGGGUGAAUCUGGGAAAGAAGGACAAAGGAAACAGAAAGAGAUGAAUGAAAUUAUGCCUAAGAAGCAAAAAACUUUACAAGGGAACCAGGAAGUGACUUGCACACUCAAGGGUGAGAUUCCAAAGGGAGAGGAACAAAAGAAACCCCCCAGAAAACAGAAUCAAAAUGCAGAGAUGCAACAGCAGAAACAGAC